rnacentral:lncRNA from 10 species
AUUGCUGGGUGAUUUCACCACUACUGCCCCAUAUUCAUACUCUCGGUAAAUGAAUGAGGAGAGCCCCAUGUGGGAUUACAAACUUGCUGGAAAUGGAUGAGAAACCUUCUGCUCUGCUGGAGUUUAUCUUGAGUGUGCCUUAAAAUUCCAUUUCAUGGAGAACUGUGCGUGGUUGAAUUUUGAUUGAUUACUCAAUUAACUGAUGUAUUGGUAGAGUGAUUAAGAAAGAAGACUUUGGGAUCAGACCAACCUGGUUUUGAAUUCAAGCUCAGCAACUUACUAGGUAAGGAGGAGAAAAGAAAGAAGGAAAAAUUGGAAAGAUAAAUGGGGUCUUUCCAGUGAAGGCUCAAUUUUCCUACAUAAUUAAGAGUUUGGAAUUCGGGCAAUAUCAAGAACCACAUCUGUCCUGAAAUCAAUUAUCUCUGUUUGAUGAAAUUAAAAGUAUGAUCUUUCAUAGACUUUAACAGCCUGUCACUAGGUAAAACAAGGGUUAUUAUAUUUUCUUGAUAUUUCACAGUUUCUACAAUAUUUGCCGUUUAUACAGCAAAGCAUACAAUUAUUGACAAUGUUCAAUACUCAAUUGAAAUGAGAUCAUUCCCAUUUAACGGUUUUGCUACUUUUCCUCUGCCUCAAGGAGUAAUAAGUAAGGAGUUAAAAUGGUAUCAGGCCUCUUUAUACCACAGAGAGAAGUGCUUUGACUAAAAUAUUUCACUUAAUUUUGAGACAUGCUUAUGUCUUUGAAGAAAGAAGAACCACUAAAAAGCUGCGAUAGUCAAAGCUAAAAACUAUUAAUUCCUUCCCUCCAUGUAUGUCUACACUUCCCACAUUAAAAGAUGGAGUCUAGUUCCCUUCCUCUUGAAUCAUGCCUGGAUCUGGUGGCUUACAUUUUCCUAUAAAAUACAGCAAAGAAAUAUUCUGGGAUUUCAAAGUCUAGGUCAUACUAAGUCUUGCAUGUUCUCCCAGAUCUCUUGGUAUACUUAUAUUUAUGAUGCUUCCUCGAAGAACUUGUAAGAAGCCUGAGCCACACAAAGAUGUCCCAUGUAGAUCCUCUGGUCUAAACCCCUAGCUCAACUCUCAUGUGACAUCCAGAAUUAACUGCCUACCAUCUUGGAUGUCUAGGGCAAUCAAACCUUUGGAUGACAUUUGUUUGCAAUGCUGCAAGAAGCCUUAAGUGAAAACUGUCCAGCUGAGUCCUGUCAAUUGACAGAAAUGUAAAAGAUAAUAAAAAGGGGCCAUUUGUCGCCAUGAAGCCUGACUCUUGAAAAAAAGAAAUUCUUAGCCAAGUCUCUAAAUGACGCUGUAAAUUAAGGCAAAAUCAAAACCAGAACUCAAGCCUACACUACAGUAAAAACCAUCACAUCAUACUCUAUUUCUUCUGGAUUAUUUCUUAUGCUUCUCUAAUUUUCAUUUAGCUCUUACAAUUAAGAUAAUUUAGAAACAAUCAUGAGUACUUUGGAAACCUUAACUUUUAUUUACAGAGGAGAGAAUUAAAGAGUUCAUCUUAGGAACUAAAACAGCUAGUAGAACCUAGAGUGUCUAUGUAGUUUUGACUUCUACUUCAUUAUUAUAACCAUUCAUGAGUGAAAUCUACAUAUAUUACAACUGUCAUUUUAUGCUUUCCUGUUAAAAGAACUUUAAGAAUUUCCACAUUCUACAGAUGAGGAAACCAGGGAAGAGAUAGGCAAUAUCAGAGACAAAAUUUGAAAUCAUAGCUAAAAGAGACUGUCUCAGUCAUUAAAGCCACAAUAUGUCAGAUCAGAAUUGCCUCUCUAGGGGUCUAGAGAGCAGCAACAACCAGAAGAUGGCCUGGUCUUGGGACUUGGAUUCAAGAGAAGUGUUCCCCCAAGGCAAUGACAAGCAAGAGUUAAAAAGUGAAUGUGGGCUCAAGUGUUUUGGGAAAAAUAAGCAUUUUACAAUCUAUAAAUCAUGUCUAAAUGACAAGUAAAAAGAGAAGAACAGGCUAAAAAUAGGAAAAUAAACAUGCAGAGAAUAUGUAUUAACUGAAUAACUUUUGUGGGGAGGUUA